rnacentral:rRNA from 1 species
UACGUAGGGGGCAAGCGUUGUCCGGAUUUAUUGGGCGUAAAGCGCACGCAGGCGGUCUUUUACGUUUUGAGUGACAGGUGGGGGCUUAACUCCCACAGGCCUUGAGAUACGGGAAGACUUGAGGGCUUCAGAGGGACGCGGAAUUCCAGGUGGAGCGGUGAAAUGCGUAGAGAUCUGGAAGAACACCAAAGGCGAAGGCAGCGUUCUGGGAAGCAACUGACGCUCAUGUGCGAAAGCUAGGGGAGCGAACGGG